rnacentral:lncRNA from 1 species
GUAGAUUUAAUCUACAGGUGAUAAUAAUAAAUCAAUUAAGGGCUUUUUUGGCAAAUAGCCCCCUGAUAAAUUUUAUUUGCAAAAAUAGUCCCGUCCAAAAAUUAUUUGCAAAAAUGGUCCUGCCCCUGCCACGCCAGCGCCACGUCAGCGCCACGCGGGCAGGACGAGCCCAGAUGUUUAAGUUGAACACGGUGAACCAUUCACCGUGUUCAAUACAAGAUUUUUGUAUUGGACACGGUGAAUGAUUCACCGUGUUCAACUUAACCAUCUGGCCCAGCCCUGCCCGCGUGGCGCUGACGUGGCGCUUGCGUGGCGGGACCAUGGUCAUUUUUGCAAAUAAAUUUUUGACAGGGUCAAAUUUUAAAAAUUUUUUUUGUAAGGAGACUAUUUGCAAAAAAAGUCCAUCAAUUAAUGUUU